UGGGGAAUAUUUCACAAUGGGCGCAAGCCUGAUUCAGCCAUGCCGCGUGUAUGAAGAAGGCCUUCGGGUUGUAAAGUACUUUCAGUCGGGAGGAAGGUGGUAAGGUUAAUAACCUUAUCAAUUGACGUUACCGACAGAAGAAGCACCGGCUAACUCCGUGCCAGCAGCCGCGGUAAUACGGAGGGUGCAAGCGUUAAUCGGAAUUACUGGGCGUAAAGCGCACGCAGGCGGUUGAUUGAGUCAGAUGUGAAAUCCCCGGGCUUAACCCGGGAAUUGCAUCUGAUACUGGUCAGCUAGGGUCUUGUAGAGGGGGGUAGAAUUCCAUGUGUAGCGGUGAAAUGCGUAGAGAUGUGGGGGAAUACCGGUGGGGAAGGCGGCCCCCUGGACAAAGACUGACGCUCAGGUGCGAAAGGGUGGGGAGCAAACAGG
rnacentral:rRNA from 1 species